AUAGCCUCCGAAUAGCGAGAAGGUGCAAUAUCUGAAUACUUUCUGGUUCAGACAGAGGCUUAUUUUAAAACUCGAAUCAGUUUUUGAGGGUGAAAAAAAGCUUUACUCAUUUUUACCCAUCGAAUCUUUCAUUCCUUUUAUUGGAUAGAUUCGAAUAUCU
rfam:Brassica rapa chromosome A3, whole genome shotgun sequence.